GAAGAAGUAGUUUAAGUAAGAAUGUGAAGUUGUCAACUUUAAGAUGCCAAAUCAUUUGGUCUUCUUCU
rnacentral:tRNA from 1 species